rnacentral:rRNA from 20 species
AUAACGACUCUCGGCAACGGAUAUCUAGGCUCUUGCAUCGAUGAAGAACGUAGCGAAAUGCGAUACUUGGUGUGAAUUGCAGAAUCCCGUGAACCAUCGAGUCUUUGAACGCAAGUUGCGCCCGAAGCCUUCUGGCCGAGGGCACGCCUGCCUGGG